AGUGGGAAAAUAAGCAGCCAAUCUAGUAGGAUUUGUACAAGGUACGAAAUGCAAACAAAGGCAGAAGCACAGCGGGAAAAGAAAGGUACAAUAAGCAAAAGCAGGUCCCAGCAGUAAUUACACCAUUGACGAAUGACGACUGCAGUCCCCCAUCAUAUAGCCAAUAUAUAAACGUCACAGCCAAAGCCAAAGCCAAAGCCAAAGCCAAAAGAGAUAACAGAAAAAGCAACUCCAAAUUAUAAGAGCAGAGCUAAUCUAAUUGUCUUUCUUUCUUCUUCAGUGAAAAUAAAUAAUUGCUCUCAUCACAGUUCUGUUUCAGCUGAUAGACUUUUUUAGCAUGUCGUUUCCGGCUUUAACAAUCCCACCUCGGCCCUCGUUCGAAUCCUUUUUUAGUAACAUGCCUUCUUUCAGCCCAGGUCCAAUGUCCCUAGUUUCCAGUUUCUUCUCCGAUCAGAGCCCUGAUUCAUCCGAUUAUCCUUCUUUCUCCCAGCUUCUUGCCGGAGCUAUGACUUCUCCACUUGCAAAGCCGGCCCUUUUGCCGGAUAAUUUUGGAGAAGGAACUCAAAAGAACUCAGGGUAUAAGCAGAAUCGGCCCAUGGGCCUUGUGUUGGCCCAAUCUCCUUUGUUCAUGAUUCCUCCUGGUUUGAGUCCUUCUGAAUUGCUUAAUUCACCUGGGUUUCUUUCUCCACUUCAGAGUCCUUUUGGAAUGUCACAUCAACAGGCUCUAGCACAUGUUACAGCCCAGGCUGCAUUUUCUAAUUCGAACAUGCAAAUGCAAGCCGAAGAUCAAUGUUCGUCUCAGGUGGCUUCAGCAGAAGCAUUCGGACAUGAGUUGACAACUGAGCUAAAGGAAGCUUCUUUGCAGCUAAAGGAACCUUCGCAAACUAGAAUGGACAGCGAACCAUCGGACAAGCAGGGUAAGAAAUUUGAACUGCUAGAGUUUUCUCAAUCUGAGAACAAGCCGUCUUUUAUUACUGUUGAAAAACCAGCUUGUGAUGGUUACAACUGGAGAAAAUAUGGCCAGAAGAAAGUAAAGGCUAGUGAAUGCCCUCGGAGCUACUAUAAGUGCACACAUCUCAAAUGUCCAGUGAAGAAGAAAGUUGAGCGAUCUGUUGAUGGUCACAUAACUGAGAUCACAUAUAAUGGCCGGCACAACCAUGAACUUCCUCAACCAAGCAAGCAAAGAAAAGAUGGUUCUGCUUUGAAUGGUACAGACUGCUCGGAAGUUCGACCUGACAUUCAAACACAUGAUUGGACAGUGAUGAAUAGCUCAGAUGGGUCUUCCCCUUCUCGUUCUGACCAGGUCCCAACCCAAAUGGCAUCUGAACUUCUCGUGAAAAGAGAACAUGAUGAAACCAAAAACAUUUUGGUAGCAGUAGAUGAGGGGCAUGAUGAACCAAAUGCAAAGAGAACGAAGACGGCAGUUGAGACACUAGCUUCAUCACAUAGCACAGUAGCUGAAUCCAAGAUUGUUCUGCAGACAAGAAGUGAAGUUGAUUUCUUAGAUGACGGGUACAAAUGGCGAAAGUACGGGCAGAAGGUGGUAAAGGGGAAUCAGCACCCAAGGAGUUAUUAUCGGUGCACAUGUCCUGGAUGCAAUGUCCGCAAACAAGUCGAGAGGGCUUCAACUGAUGCAAAAAAUGUCAUAACAACCUAUGAAGGCAAGCAUAAUCACGACAUUCCCUCUGUUAGGAAUAGAAACAGCCAAAGAUAGUACUCAGCGUUGCAAAGUAAAAGAUGGUGACUUCGAGGCCUUUAUUUCACCAAGAUAUUGAUUUUGGAAACAACAAUGAAAUACCCGUGUGUGAAAGGAUUGCAGCAUAAGUUGCAUUACCAAAAAAGGGUGAAAGGAUACUGAGAUUGCAGCAUAAGUAGAGCAUUACCAAAGGUAAAAGAGUGAAAGGAUACAGGAUUGAGCUACUAACUUUUGUACCAAAUAGUCAGUCUUUUCUUUCGAAAACCUCAUGCUUGGUGAAUCUGUUGGUAGUUCUCAAUAAGUAUUUGUAAAUUCUAUGCUACUUUCUGAAGUUGUCUGAUAUAUUGUUAAAGUAUAGAAGGUUGUAAUAGCUUGUCCUUGCCAUUUAAGCUUCUUCUGGUCAGCUUCAAACUCUAGACCAGCAGAGUACAUAAGCUUAUUCAAGCAAAGUUGUCAACUUUUGAUACCAUAUUUACUUUGUAAAUUAGAAGUUAUAUUUCGUUUGCAUCUCU